GAUGAACGCUGGCGGCGUGCCUAAUACAUACAAGUCGAGCGAACAGACGAGGAGCUUGCUCCUCUGACGUUAGCGGCGGACGGGUGAGUAACACGUGGAUAACCUACCUAUAAGACUGGGAUAACUUCGGGAAACCGGAGCUAAUACCGGAUAAUAUAUUUAACCUCAUGGUUCAAUAGUGAAAGACGGUUUUGCUGUCACUUAUAGAUGGAUCCGCGCCGCAUUAGCUAGUUGGUAAGGUAACGGCUUACCAAGGCAACGAUGCGUAGCCGACCUGAGAGGGUGAUCGGCCACACUGGAACUGAGACACGGUCCAGACUCCUACGGGAGGCAGCAGUAGGGAAUCUUCCGAAAAGGGCGAAAGCCUGACGGAGCAACGACGCGUGAGUGAUGAAGGUCUUCGGAUCGUAAAACUCUGUUAUUAGGGAAGAACAAAUGUGUAAGUAACUAUGCACGUCUUGACGGUACCUAAUCAGAAAGCCACGGCUAACUACGUG
rnacentral:rRNA from 1 species